rnacentral:rRNA from 1 species
CAAGGAUUCCCAUAGUAACGGCGAGUGAACUGGGAAAAGCUCAGCGCUGAAUCGCACGGUAUAAGGCCGUAGUGAACUGUAGCGUAUAGGUGUAACUGCAUCAGCAGCUAUCCGCACACUCAAAGUUCCCUUGAGUGGGGCUACUUCCGUAGAAGGUGCAAGACCUGUAUGAGUGGCUGGUUGUUGUUGAUAUUGGUUACUGCUUCAGAGUCGAGUUGCCUGGGAACGCAGCUCAAAGUCGGUGGUAAACCUCAUCUAAAGCUAAAUAUGACUUCGAGACCGAUAGCGAACAAGUACCGUGAGGGAAAGUUGCAAAGAACUUCGAAGGGAGAGUUCAAAAGGACGUGAAACCACUAGGGGGGAAGCGGAUAGAGUUAACAGCAUGAUGGCGGCAUUCAGCCGAUCGGCGUUACGAACAGGAGGCGAUACGCUCCGGGACUAACCGGGCGUUUGCUUGCUAGCAUCGUAUGCGCGAUCGGUGCUUUUGCCGUCAUUGGCGCGCUGAGGUGCUCAGAGUGAUGUGUUUCAGAGUGUCGGUAGAGGACUGCGCUGCUCGUCAGCGCAGAACCCUACGGCGCUGUACAGACAUAUUCGCUGUGAGUGCAUGCAUACACGACUCUACCCGCUUUAGCGCACGGGCGCAGCUGCAGUCGUAUUGGCUGAUGCCAGUGGCUUAGUCACUGUGCUUCAUGUCCGAGUGUGGCGAUGGUUGCGUGUCGUGC